GUGUAUAGUCUCUCUGUUUGAUGUGCAGUAGAACCUCAGAGUUACGAACACCAGAGUUACAAACUGACCGGUCCAUCACACACCUCGUUUGGAACCGGAAGUAAGCAAUUAGGCAGAAGCAGAGACAA